rnacentral:lncRNA from 1 species
CCAUCAAAAAUUCAACUUCAAAGAUCUAUUUUUUACAGUUCUUGAAUGGUAAACAAAGAAUGUGACAAAAAAAUAAAAAAAAUGUUAAGGUUUUGAGUUCUUUCGUUGCUACAACAUAAAUUGUUUCCUGACACAAUGAUUUUAUUCUCUGUAACUCUCUCGUUUCUCUCUGUGUGUUUACGAGGGGAUAGGGAGACUGGAGUUUGAUUUAACACAACGGCCAAGUGCCAAAGAGGCCAACAUCUAUUUCUGAA